rnacentral:rRNA from 1 species
GAUUAACGCUAGCGGCAGGCCUAAUACAUGCAAGUCGAACGGUAAAUAGGUAGCAAUAUCUAUGAGAGUGGCGCACGGGUGAGUAACGCGUAUGCAACCUGCCUUUAACUGGGGGAUAGCUUCGAGAAAUCGAAAUUAAUACCCCAUAAUAUUAUUGAAUGGCAUCAUUUAAUAAUCAAAACUCCGGUGGUUAGAGAUGGGCAUGCGUGACAUUAGCUAGUUGGUAAGGUAACGGCUUACCAAGGCUACGAUGUCUAGGGGGUCUGAGAGGAUGAUCCCCCACACUGGUACUGAGACACGGACCAGACUCCUACGGGAGGCAGCAGUAAGGAUAUUGGUCAAUGGAGGCAACUCUGAACCAGCCAUGCCGCGUGCAGGAUGACGGCCCUAUGGGUUGUAAACUGCUUUUUAACGGGAA